CCUACGGGUGGCAGCAGUGAGGAAUAUUGGUCAAUGGACGAGAGUCUGAACCAGCCAAGUCGCGUGAAGGAUGACUGCCCUAUGGGUUGUAAACUUCUUUUAUAAAGGAAUAAAACGAGGCACGUGUGCCUUUUUGCAUGUACUUUAUGAAUAAGGAUCGGCUAACUCCGUGCCAGUAGCCGCGGUAAUACGGAGGAUCCGAGCGUUAUCCGGAUUUAUUGGGUUUAAAGGGAGCGUAGAUGGGUUGUUAAGUCAGUUGUGAAAGUUUGCGGCUCAACCGUAAAAUUGCAAUUGAUACUGGCAGUCGUGAGUACAGUUGAGGUAGGCGGAAUUCGUGGUGUAGCGGUGAAAUGCUUAGAUAUCACGAAGAACCCCGAUUGCGAAGGCAGCUUACUAAACUGUGACUGACAUUGAUGCUCGAAAGUGUGGGUAUCAAACAGGAUUAGAUACCCCAGUAGUC
rnacentral:rRNA from 1 species